rnacentral:tmRNA from 1 species
GGGGCCGAUUAGGAUUCGACGGCGGUAACAAAACCCGAAGUGCAUGUCGUGAGGGUAGCCAAUCACGUAAAUCCAAAGCUACAAACUAUUAGUUGCCAACGAUGACAACUACGGUGCCCAGCUGGCUGCGUAAGCGGCUUGUGAAGCACUAACUAGGGGUUCGCCCUUAGCGGUCUUUAACAAGGUGCCAGUACCGCGUUAACGACUGUCAUACAGAACUGGAUCGCCGUGAAGCCUGCCUGGGGUGGAUCUGCUAAACCUUAUCAGGAUCGCGUUUUACGUCUCGCCCGCUGGGCUGUAAAGCGUUAAAUCAAUAAGCGGUUCUAAACAUGUAGAGCUGACGGCGGAGUACUGACGGACGGGGGUUCAAAUCCCCCCGGCUCCACCA